GACGUAGGGCGCGAGCGUUGUCCGGAUUGAUUGGGCGUAAAGAGCUCGUAGGCGGCUCGUUGCGUCGGCUGUGAAAACCCGCAGCUCAACUGUGGGCCUGCAGCUGAUACGGGCGGGCUGGAGUUCGGUAGGGGAGACUGGAAUUUACGGUGUAGCAGUGAAAUGCGUAGAUAUCGUAAGGAAGACCAGUGGCGAAGGCGAAUCUCUGGACAGUUACUGACACUGAGGCACGAAAGCGUGGGGAGCAAACAGG
rnacentral:rRNA from 1 species